UACGGAGGGUGCAAGCGUUAUCCGGAUUCACUGGGUUUAAAGGGCGCGUAGGCGGGUGCUUAAGUCAGAGGUGAAAUCCUCCGGCUCAACCGGGGAACUGCCUCGGAUACUGGGUGCCUCGAGGGUGGGAGGGGAGACUGGAAUUCCUGGUGUAGCGGUGGAAUGCGCAGAUAUCAGGAGGAACACCGAUGGCGAAGGCAGGUCUCUGGGCCACUACUGACGCUGAGAAGCGAAAGCAUGGGGAGCGAACAGG
rnacentral:rRNA from 1 species